CACUGGGAGCGCGGCGGCAGCACCAGGAGGGAGCGUGGCGGCCAUUUUGUGCCUGCCUCGCUCGCCUCCGGGAAGGGGCCGGUGCGGGAGCUGCGGCUCGGCGGGGAGGGAAGGAGGGAAGAAGGAGUUCGGCUGUUUGCUUUUGUGUCGCGGGCGUUGUCGCCAUGGGCCGUAAGAAGAAGAAGCAGCUGAAGCCUUGGUGCUGGUAUUGUAACAGAGAUUUUGAUGAUGAAAAAAUCCUUAUACAGCAUCAAAAAGCAAAGCACUUUAAAUGCCAUAUAUGUCAUAAGAAAUUGUAUACGGGACCUGGUUUAGCUAUACACUGCAUGCAGGUACAUAAAGAAACAAUAGAUGCUGUUCCAAAUGCUAUUCCUGGAAGAACAGACAUUGAACUGGAAAUUUAUGGCAUGGAGGGCAUUCCAGAAAAAGAUAUGGAGGAACGGAGAAGGUUACUUGAACAAAAAACUCAGGCAGAAAGCCAGAAAAAGAAACAACAAGAUGAUUCUGAUGAGUAUGAAGAUGAUGAAUCUGCAGCUUCAACUUCAUUUCAACCCCAGCAAGUUCAGCCACAGCAGGGGUACAUUCCCCCAAUGGCACAACCAGGUUUGCCUCCUGUGCCAGGUGCACCAGGGAUGCCUCCAGGUAUACCGCCAUUAAUGGCAGGUGUUCCACCAAUGAUGCCUGGCAUGCCUCCAGUGAUGCCUGGGAUGCCACCUGGAUUACAUCAACAAAGAAAAUACAUGCAGUCAUUUUGUGGUGGAAACAUGAUGAUGCCGAUGGGUGGAAUGAUGCCCCCUGGGCCAGGAAUACCACCUCUUAUGCCUGGUAUGCCACCAGGUAUGCCGCCGCCUGUUGGUCCUCGUCCUGGGAUGCCUCCAAUGACACAAGCACAGCCUGUUACAGCACCAGGCAUCCUUAACAGACCUCCAGCUCCUGCUGCGUCAGCACCUACCCCUCAGCCUCCAGUUACUAAACCACUCUUUCCGAGUGCAGGGCAGGCUGCAGCGGCUGUUCCAGGUCCAGUUGGUACUGAUUUCAAACCUUUGAAUUCUACACCUGCAACAACAACAGAACCCCCCAAGCCUACAUUCCCUGCUUACACACAGUCUACAGCCUCAACCACUAGCACGACAAACAGUACUGCAGCUAAGCCAGCUACAUCUAUAACAAGUAAGCCUGCUACCCUUACGACAACCAGUGCAACCAGUAAGUUGAUCCAUCCAGAUGAGGAUAUAUCGCUGGAAGAGAGAAGGGCACAGUUGCCUAAAUAUCAGCGUAAUCUUCCUCGGCCAGGACAAGCUUCCUUGGGUAAUCCACCAGUUGGACCAAUUGGAGGUAUGAUGCCACCACAGCCAGGAAUUCCUCCACAGCAACAAGGGAUGAGACCUCCCAUGCCACCUCAUGGUCAGUAUGGUGCUCAUCACCAGGGCAUGCCAGGAUAUCUUCCUGGGGCGAUGCCUCCUUAUGGUCAGGGACCUCCGAUGGUGCCCCCCUACCAAAGUGGACCUCCUCGUCCUCCAAUGGGAAUGAGACCUCCUGUAAUGUCGCAAGGUGGCCGCUACUGAUGCUACUACACACACUCUAAUAGGUUUGGAGAUUAAACCUUUUCUCAUCUUGUGCUGUUAAUAUAGCCAAGCUUCCGUCAAUUAAGGCUUCAUUGUGACUUUAAAAAAAAAAAAAAUAAGUAUCUUCCCCACAUGCAAGGAACUAUUGGACAUUCUUAUUUUACAUGGGAAAAUUUAUUUGGAAUAAUAACAGGAACUUUUCCUGAUGUUGCAAUUUAUACUGUAUGGCUUCUUUUUCAUGUUUCAUCUAGGUUUUUAGAAGUGAAGUAUAGUAAAUAUGGUUCGUUAAAUUGUGAAGGCGCUGGAAUUACAUGAACAUACCACCUUAAAGCCCUGCCAUAGGACAGGCUGAGGCAGAGUCUCAGUGUUGCCCUGUUCAGUCUGAGCAGAAUUUCAGCAUUUGCUACUUACUGGUAGAGAAGAAAUAUCCCACAGCACUGCCAGUACAGGUUAGUUUAAUCUGUAAGUACCUGACAUUUCUAUUUGAAAUAUGUUCAAAUGAUACCAUUUCAGUACGAGGGGAAUUUUGAUCUCUGAAAUGUCAAUGUAUCUUUCUUACCUACUACUGUUUUCAGUAGUGAGUGAACAUCUAGGUUUUUUUUUUUUUUAAAGAUCUGUAAUGAUUUUAAUUACUCUUGUGGGUCAGUAAUAUCUGCAAGCACAAGGAAAAUUUAAUAUAGAACUUUAACAAGUUGCCUUUGGUGUUACUGAAAAACAUAAAGAUAUUAAAUCAAAGUUAGUUCUUUGGUAUCGUGCCUGUUAUAAAAGGCUGUUUUAUCAGUGAACCAAUUACAGGGUAUUAUAUUGGCUUUUAUGUUGGGGGAUAAGCAUUUCUGUUCUUAAGACUCUGUAGCAGUAAUGUAAUCUUUAGAUUUUUCUUUAGUUUUAGCUAAUUACUGCCUACUGCCAACAGAAUUUUAAUUUGCUAGACUUGUAAGCUGGGAGCUUCUUGUUCUAUGGUUUAUUAGCUUACUUUUAUUUAAGCCCUGUGUACCUCAUCUCUAUGUUAUCAGCAUGGGAGAUGAAAGUUUUCUGUGCUGUGGCACAUAGCGUAGUUUCAUAAGCUGUGAAACUCUGUGCCUUAACAUACACUUGCGAAGUGAAUCAUCACACAGUGAAUUUGAGGGGCUUUUGAAAUCAUUGGUGGAUAAUUAUAUAAAAACAAAAUAUUGGAAGAUUGUGUACUAAUGUGGUAGCCAGACAGAAACGUUAGUUUUGCCAGUUCAUAUGAAUGCUUUUAUACUCUGUUUUCAUGAGUGAUUUGACACUUCCAGCAGUAUUGCUUGUUUCAGAAUUUUGAAGUCUCAUACAACGUUGCGCAGCUCGUCAUACCAAAAUGUAAGGUUUCAAGGGGAUCAGGUUUCAAGGCGAUUUGCUCAGUAAUGAGUUGAAAUAAGUAACUGAUUGCUUUUGGCUGCUGAAUUACCGUGUGAAGUCUCAGUUUUGACAGUGGUUGAAUGCUGACCUGCUCUACUUGUACCCCAGAUUGGGAGUGAAUGGGGAAUAACUAAAGGGUAGCGGUGUUCUGUUUCAUCAACAAAAAGUACAUUUCUUUGGAAUAGAUCCUAAUAUGAAUCAUAGAAUGGCUUGGGCUGCAAGGGACCUUAAAGAUCAUCUAGUUCCACCCCUCCUGCAAUGGGCAGGGACACCUCCCACUAGAUCAGGUUGGCCAUGGCUCCAUCUAACCUGGCCUUGAACACUUCCAGGGAUGAGACAUCCACAGCUUCUCUGGGCAAGCUGUUCCAGUGUCUCACUACCCUUUCAGUGAAGAAUUUCUUCCUAAUGUCUAAUCUAAAUCUAUCCUCUUUUUAGUUUAAGACCAUUUCCCCUUGUCCUAGACCACAAACUAUGGUAGAAUGUCAUCUCCCUGCAGAACUUUGACAAAUAAUUACAGAAUUUUCUGGUAGAAUUUCUUUUCUUUUAAGAUGGGACCAAAACAAAAUAUGAAAUCUGAGCUUUCACAAUCAGGUGAGCAGUCUUAAUUCGUAGCUCAGGUUCUGAUGCACUGUUUCAGCAGCUGUCCAGUCUAACACAAUUCAAAGUCUUUACAGUUGCGAUGCAGUCAGGAGGGAGCAGUGAGUCAGUUCACACUAUUUACUUUAGACUUCUGCUUAAUGACUCCAAAUCGCCCCUUCAGAGAUUCUAGUCACUGUGUAGCAAACUUGAACUCCAGUUUUUCCUUCCUUCUUAAGGUAUUUUAAAGCAUGUAAUUGAAGUAAGUAUCCUCUCAGUAGUAAUACAGCCACAGAAGUUAGCGUGUCAGGAACAUUUUUCUUGUAACUUGAUCCACCUUUUGUGUAAGUGAUAUGAAAGGGAAGGAAUCACAGAUCUUUUGAAAAACGACAAGUGGCAAAAUAUUAAUGUUGAAUUUAAUUCCAGAAGGUGGGAAAUUGGUAAGUAUGGGCAUCAUUUUCGUGCAUGUAAAUAAUAGUAACAGUAACCAUAGUUUAAUUUUAUUAGCAUUCAGUUUACAAAGAAGAUUGAAAGAGAAUACGGAGUUAACAUCACUUGCAUCCCUUGGGAACCGUAUGCUUCAAGAAUGGUUGAUUAACAUAUACAAAUCUGUAAUGUAUAUCUACCACUUUGUAACAGUCUCUAAUUAAACAUAAGUGAACCAUU